CCUCAUUCACUGCUAUGAUGAGGAGGUGGUCAAGGAGCUCAUGCCGCUGGUGGUGAACGUGCUGGAGAACCUUGACUCGGUGCUGAGCGAGAACCAGGAGCACGAGGUGGAGCUGGAGCUCCUACGCGAGGACAACGAGCAGCUGCUCACGCAAUACGAGCGCGAGAAGGCGCUGCGCAAACAGGCCGAGGAGGUGCGUGGGCCCCGGCCGCCGCGGAGAGGGACGGUGUGGGGAGCGUGGAGCAGCCAGCUCGGCUCAGCCAGCAGUAUGCUGCUGCUGGGAAGUGCCACUUUCUCCAUCCAAUUUGGACCCAGAGCCCAGCCUGUGCAGAGUCCAGGAGACAUGGGCCCCUAUUCCUGCUGUCCCCUGACCUUGGCUGCCGCCUGCUGGCUCUGGGUUUUAUUCCUUCAGUCUUUUGAGCAAGUUGCCCUAGAAUCACAAAGCCCAGAAUUGUACUAUUCUGGAAAUAAAUGCUCUUCGGUUUA
rnacentral:lncRNA from 1 species